rnacentral:rRNA from 1 species
AUUGAACGCUGGCGGCAGGCUUAACACAUGCAAGUCGAGCGGAGCGAGGGUGCUUGCACCUUAGCUUAGCGGCGGACGGGUGAGUAAUGCUUAGGAAUCUGCCUAUUAGUGGGGGACAACAUUACGAAAGGAAUGCUAAUACCGCAUACGCCCUACGGGGGAAAGCAGGGGAUCUUCGGACCUUGCGCUAAUAGAUGAGCCUAAGUCGGAUUAGCUAGUUGGUGGGGUAAAGGCCUACCAAGGCGACGAUCUGUAGCGGGUCUGAGAGGAUGAUCCGCCACAAUGGGACUGAGACACGGCCCAGACUCCUACGGGAGGCAGCAGUGGGGAAUAUUGGACAAUGGGCGGAAGCCUGAUCCAGCCAUGCCGCGUGUGUGAAGAAGGCCUUUUGGUUGUAAAGCACUUUAAGCGAGGAGGAGGCUACUUAGAUUAAUACUCUGGGAUAGUGGACGUUACUCGCAGAAUAAGCACCGGCUAACUCUGUGCCAGCCGCCGCCGUAAA